rnacentral:rRNA from 1 species
AUUGAACGCUGGCGGAAUGCUUUACAUAUGCAAGUCGAACGGCAGCACGGGGGCAACCCUGGUGGCGAGUGGCGAACGGGUGAGUAAUACAUCGGAACGUGCCCAGUCGUGGGGGUUAACUACGCGAAAGCGUAGCUAAUACCGCAUACGAACUCUGGUUGAAAGCGGGGGAUCGCAAGACCUCGCGCGAUUGGAGCGGCCGAUGGCAGGUUAGGUAGUUGGUGGGGUAAAGGCUCACCAAGCCGACGAUCUGUAGCUGGUCUGAGAGGACGACCAGCCACACUGGGACUGAGACACGGCCCAGACUCCUACGGGAGGCAGCAGUGGGGAAUUUUGGCCAAUGGGCGCAAGCCUGAUCCAGCCAUUCCGCGUGCAGGAUGAAGGCCCUCGGGUUGUAAACUGCUUUUGUACGGAACGAAACGCGCCGGGUUAAUACCUCGGCGUAAUGACGGUACCGUAAGAAUAAGCACCGGCUAACUACGUGCCAGCCGCCGCGGUAACAC